AACGCGGUUGCCACAGCAACGGUGGGGCGUGUCCGGCCAGGCACCCGGAGCGGAGCGUUCAUCCCGCAGACGCAGAUGCUGUUGCUCCUGAGACGAGAGGGCCCUUGAGGUACCGAGCCAGACGCGGAAGUGAGGCCAGUUCUCGGGGGGCUCUGUGGGCUCCAGCUGCCUCGCGGUGGGGUUCCAGAUCCAACACCGCAAGGCCCUUGGCGGCACUAGCCCCCAGGAGCUGGCCCGGGACUCGGAGCAGAGCCGACUGAAUCAGGGUGGCUGUGAAGGCGUCCGCCCCAGGCCAGCUGACAGGUCGUCCAGCCGACUCCCAGGCGCAGCCAGGCUGAGAGCCCCGCUUCGGGCGGCUGCGUCUGCAGCGGCUUCUGUCCGGCUGAAGUGUGGUUCACACCAUCCUACAGCACUUCCUCUGCCGGCUCCGCGGCCGCAGCGGUCACCGCCAGCACGUCCCCGAGCUUGUGCCGACGACCUUCUGCCAGCGGUGUCCAGUGGCCCGUCCGCGCUCCACGGGCUCCUGGGAGCCCUGCUCUGAUCAGGCGCUUCUACCGGCCCCUUCGGUUAAGCGCCCAGACUUUCUGCACUGAGAGGUUCUUCAUCUCCGCGCUUUUGGGUCUCGGUACCUUCCUGUCUGUUUUUUCCCCUUUGUGUUUCUCUCCGUAUGAAGAUGUGCUUGUUAUUUUUCUAGAGAAUCCAUCAAUCAUCCGGGACCCCUUCGGUGCAGACGACCCUGUGGAUGGUCGACGGGGCGUGGGUGUCUCCAGCAGAGGGGCUUCAGCCGGAGAAAGCGGCUCGCAGAGAGUUUCCGCCCGCCUGCCGCCCGGAGGUCAGAAGAUGACAUCGCAGAAACAAAAUUGGCAGCAAAGUGGCUGAAAUGAGAUCUUUUCUUAGAUCUUGGCAGGGGAGAGGCUGACCUUGGAGGAAGGAGUUUGGGGAUCAGUCCCUUGCUGCUCUGUUUUUCAGGAGCAGAAGGGAGGGAGCCUGAGGCCAGCCCAUACCCCGCAAGGCUGCUGCUUGCUGAGCGCCCACCAGGAGCGGCCUGCGGCUGGGGUCCCUCCACCCUGAGCCUGCUCGUGGAGGGCCGUGGGCUCCCCGCCGCCCCUCACCUGAGAGGCACUCUCUGGGGAAGUGGGUGACCUGGAGGGGGCCCUGUGCAGGGGUCUCGGGCAGCAGUGAGUGGAGGCAGCCUGGCAGCCCUGGAGGACAGCGUGCUUCCUGGGACAGGGCGGCAGGAGCGAGAUGCCAGCAGCCUCAUGGUCUGAGCCACAUUCUGGGCGCGGGGCAGGGAGAGAAGAAGCACAGCGCACCUAGAAACGAGAGGGAGGCCAGCAGAGCGCCCCGGGGCAGCCGUCCACGUGAGCCGCCUGUACCAGUCCCGCCUGCCGGCGGGGGAGCUGCCCCGGCAGGGCCCAGCACACCCGCUACACGAGGACCAGGGCCUUGGCAAAGCUGGGGGUGCCAGAGGGCCUGCCCACCUCCAGGGGAGAUCCAGGCCGCGGCCCUGAUGGCAAGCCCCCCCUAGAAUGCCCCAGCUUUUGCCUCUGCAGGCCCACCUGGCCGGGGUCUGGGAGGACACUUCUCCUCCGGGCCGGCCGCCUCCCCGUCCCUGCGUGCUUCCCACUGUAAUGGAACUGCCCUGGGGAGUCAGGUCCCUGCUCUGAACCUCAGGAUCCUAAUCCAUAGAGAGCCUGCUUUCCUCAAGGGGUGCCAGGCUCGGCUGAGUGAAGUGCUGAAAAGUGAGGACAGGCAACCCCAGAGCUCACCCCAGAGCCCACCCCCCAUGCCUGGGCUUCAGGUUUCAACCCUUCUUGGAUGGACCUAGCAGAGAAGGGGCCCCAUUACCCCAGGACCCCCCAACUGUGCUCCUGGAGGGACCGUGAGUGUGGCAGCUUCUCAGGGUCCCAGUGCCGCCCAACCCCUCUCCCAGCCUGAUCUGCAGCCUCUCGGGCCAGGGCGGGAGUCCUGGGAGCUUGGCCACCCCGCUCCCACUUCCUGGUAGGCAGGAGCACAGGGGGAGGUCAGCAGAAAUUGCCGGUACCCCAGUCUUCCCUCCUCCCACCCUCCCGGUCUGGGGCCGGGUAGCACAAAGGGAAUCGCUGACCUUCCCAGAAGCCCCAGGGCCGGGCAGAGGAAGGGGACGUCCAGGUUGGGAGCUGGACCCCAGUGUUUCCCCAAGACUGGACAAAGGUCUGAGCUGGGGUCCCGGGGAAGGAACCCAAGGAAGGGACCACUCCUGACCUGGAGCACAGGGCAGUCUCACCUUCCCCACCAGGAAACCAGGUGACUCCACACCUCAUGGGGUCAAACCUUAGACCCUGGGGAAAGGUGACCCUCCUGCUCGGCCCCCUUGGUCCCUCCGCUCUGCCCAGAGGCUCCUGGGGCAAGAAGUCUGUGCCCUGGGGGUCUGGGGUGCCUGUGAGUGAGAGAUCAGGCAGAGGAGGCCGGCCAGCUCUCACCAGGGGGCAGGGGGCAACCAGCCAAGGCCUGGAAGUGCAGAACUCCUCCCCACACAGGAAGUUCUCGUGCAUGCAGAGUCUCGGGCCCCACCCGGGCCCCUGAGUCAGGAUCCCCUUUUGACAAGCUUCCCACUGAGGCCUUUUCCACUGGGCUUGAGAGACGCUCACCCAUCAAAACAGACGUGAACCAGCAGCAUGAGACGCUGGGACCCAGUCUCAGUCCCAGCUCAGACAAACCGCCUUUGAAAAGUCGUCUUUUGGACAGUAGGUUAAAUCUGUCUCCAGGCAGGUGACAUUAAAUAUAAUCAUGGCAUCGAGCUCGG
ensembl:lncRNA